rnacentral:piRNA from 1 species
UAGCCACAGUGUCUACGGCUC